CUGGCUCAGGAUGAACGCUGGCGGCGUGCCUAACACAUGCAAGUCGAACGGGUUAAGGGAAGUUUCGGAUGGAACUAACUUAGUGGCGGACGGGUGAGUAACGCGUGGAUAACCUGCCUCGCACUGGGGGAUAGCAGCUGGAAACGGCUGGUAAUACCGCAUAAGACCACGGUGCAGCAUGGCACUGGGGUAAAAGAUUUAUCGGUGCGAGAUGGAUCCGCGUCUGAUUAGCCAGUUGGCGGGUAACGGCCCACCAAAGCGACGAUCAGUAGCCGGCCUGAGAGGGUGAACGGCCACAUUGGGACUGAGACACGGCCCAAACUCCUACGGGAGGCAGCAGUGGGGAAUAUUGCACAAUGGGCGCAAGCCUGAUGCAGCAAACCGCCGCGUGAGUGAAGAAGUAUUUCGGUAUGUAAAGCUCUAUCGGCAGGAAGAAGGCCGAAGGAGAUCGACGGUACUGACUAAGAACGCCCGGCUAACUACGUGCCAGCCGCCGC
rnacentral:rRNA from 1 species